UCCCUGGUAGCUCAGUUGGUAAAGUAUCUGCCUACAAUGCAGGAGACCUAGGUUCGAUUCCUAGGUCAGGAAG